AACGAACGCUGGCGGCAGGCUUAACACAUGCAAGUCGAACGCACCUUUCGGGGUGAGUGGCCGACGGGUGAGUAACGCGUGGGAAUCUACCCUUCUCUACGGGAUAGCUCCGGGAAACUGGAAUUAAUACCGUAUACGUCCUGAGGGAGAAAGAUUUAUCGGGGAAGGAUGAGCCCGCGUUGGAUUAGCUAGUUGGUGGGGUAAAGGCCUACCAAGGCGACGAUCCAUAGCUGGUCUAAGAGGAUGAUCAGCCACAUUGGGACUGAGACACGGCCCAAACUCCUACGGGAGGCAGCAGUGGGGAAUAUUGGACAAUGGGCGAAAGCCUGAUCCAGCCAUGCCGCGUGAGUGAUGAAGGCCCUAGGGUUGUAAAGCUCUUUCAGUGGGGACGAUAAUGACGGUACCCACAGAAGAAGCCCCGGCUAACUUCGUG
rnacentral:rRNA from 1 species